rfam:Candidatus Magasanikbacteria bacterium RIFOXYC12_FTLL_32_21b rifoxyc3_full_scaffold_692, whole genome shotgun sequence.
GGGGAUGACAGGAUUCGAUAGUUGGAUCUUGUUACCUUCCAUAAGCAUGUCGAGGAGCUACGCUUUCCUCGUAAAUACCGGCGUAGAAUUUCUAAGUGCAAACUUAAAAAGUCGUUUGAUGGCUGCUUUUCGCAUGCCAACAUUCGCAUCUGUAGUAGCUUAAACAAGCUCAUCUACCAUCGCUUUUCGAGAUACUCGAUAUUGAAGCCUGCGGUGUCAACCCCCAUCGAGCGUAAAUUGAAAUGGUUUUCUGAACGUUUCAAUUGACAAUAAACCAGAAUAGUUGGUAGUUGUUUUGCUAGUUUUCUAGCUACCAUACGAAAUACCAAACUUAGCUACACAUGUAGAAUAUGGGGAUAACCCAUCUAGACCCGGGUUCAAUUCCCGGCAUCUCCACGA